rnacentral:rRNA from 1 species
UACGUAGGUGGCAAGCGUUGUCCGGAUUUAUUGGGUUUAAAGGGUGCGUAGGCGGUUUUGUAAGUCAGUGGUGAAAUACUCUAGCUUAACUAGAGGGGUGCCAAUGAUACUGCGGAACUGAGUACAGAUGAGGUAGGCGGAAUUGACGGUGUAGCGGUGAAAUGCAUAGAUAUCGUCAAGAACACCGAUAGCGAAGGCAGCUUACUGGGCUGUAACUGACGCUGAUGCACAAAGUGUGGGGAUCAAAACGGG